rnacentral:rRNA from 1 species
AUGCAGUCGCACGGACCUUUCGGGGUGAGUGGCGGACGGGUGAGUAUCGCGUAGGGAUCUAUCCAUGGGUGGGGGAUAACAUCGGGAAACUGGUGCUAAUACCGCAUGAUACCUGAGGGUCAAAGGCGCAAGUCGCCUGUGGAGGAGCCUGCGUUCGAUUAGCUUGUUGGUGGGGUAAAGGCCUACCAAGGCGAUGAUCGAUAGCUGGUCUGAGAGGAUGAUCAGCCACACUGGGACUGAGACACGGCCCAGACUCCUACGGGAGGCAGCAGUGGGGAAUAUUGGACAAUGGGCGAAAGCCUGAUCCAGCAAUGCCGCGUGUGUGAAGAAGGUCUUCGGAUUGUAAAGCACUUUCGACGGGGACGAUGAUGACGGUACCCGUAGAAGAAGCCCCGGCUAACUUCGUGCCAGCAGCCGCGGUAAUACGAAGGGGGCUAGCGUUGCUCGGAAUGACUGGGCGUAAAGGGCGCGUAGGCGGUUUACACAGUCAGAUGUGAAAUUCCAGGGCUUAACCUUGGGGCUGCAUUUGAUACGUGUAGACUAGAGUGUGAGAGAGGGUUGUGGAAUUCCCAGUGUAGAGGUGAAAUUCGUAGAUAUUGGGAAGAACACCGGUGGCGAAGGCGGCAACCUGGCUCAUUACUGACGCUGAGGCG